AAGAACAGUGAUGAGUCAAUUUACAGACCUGUAAUGAUUGCGGUAAUGAUCGCAUUUCAUUAUGAACAUCUAAGGGACUGAGUUCUU
rfam:Brassica oleracea var. oleracea cultivar TO1000 chromosome C3, whole genome shotgun sequence